AAAGGCUCUUGGGGUUUUAAACCUCUUUUCUCAGGGAAGAAGCUCUGACGGUACCUGAGGAAUCAGCCUCGGCUAACUCCGUGCCAGCAGCCGCGGUAAUACGGAGGAGGCAAGCGUUAUCCGGAAUUAUUGGGCGUAAAGCGUCCGCAGGUGGCGAUUCAAGUCUGCUGUCAAAGCACGGGGCUUAACUCCGUUAAGGCAGUGGAAACUGAAUAGCUAGAGUGCCGUAGGGGUAGAGGGAAUUCCCGGUGUAGCGGUGAAAUGCGUAGAGAUCGGGAAGAACAUCGGUGGCGAAAGCGCUCUACUGGACGGCAACUGACACUCAGGGACGAAAGCUAGGGGAGCGAAUGGGAUUAGAUACCCCAGUAGUC
rnacentral:rRNA from 1 species